UUAUAGGACACCAUGAUCCUAGAACUAAAUAGCAUAUGUCAGCUUGAAUGGCACUUCUAUCAGACCCAAUGAUUGUAAAUCAGCUUUCAAUUUAAUAAGCAAAUAAAAAGUAAAUUUAAAAGGUAGACAGCCAGUGAACCCAUGGGGAAGUGGAAAGAGCACUAGCUUGAGAACCUAAGGAUCUAGGUUUGAAUCCCACUUCUCUUACUUAUCACUUGGAUGACCUGGGGCAAGUCACUUCACUUAUCUUGUCCUCUAUUUGCUCAAUAAUCAUGUGAGAGAAUUGGACACAGUGACCUCUAAGUUCCCUUUCAGCUCUAAAUCUGUGAUGAAAUGACUCAUAUCUGAUGGCAGAAAAUCAAGCAUACAAGUCAGUUGGAAGUUAUUACCCAUGCUAAGCAAUUCAUGAAUAUACUCUUGAGCAGAAAAGUUAUUCUAAUGCUAGAAGUAGGUAGAAACAAUUAUACUUAUUUCAAGGUAUAAAGAUUAGGGAAUUAUAGUAGCUAAAAAGUGAGAGGAAGAUAGAGAGAAAAAUGGCUACUGCAAUCAGUUUCAUCCUCCAACAAGAAAUGCAACAAGUAAUCUGCAGUACUUUUUCCUUAGCAUUGUUGUCUGUGAAGAUUGGAUUUGACUCUCCCCUGAUUAUAACAAUGAAGGUACUUAGCUCUUUCUUGAUUGUGAAGAUUUAAAUUAUAACUCAUGUCUGUUUUUAGAUUUUAAUCCCCAUAAAUGUAAACAGCCUGCUUAAAAGUUAAGUAUGGGAGACUUGCCUAUUUUUUAUAUUCAAUCACAAAAGGUGCAAACACGGUACUUAAAAGUUAAGUAUGAAAUGCAAAGGAAGGUGGCCUUACAGUACCAGAUCUCAAACUAUACUAUAAAGCAGUAGUCAUCAAAACAAUUUAGUACUGGCUAAGAGACAGAAAGGAUGAGUGGGAUAGACUUAGGGUAAGGGACCUCAGCAAGACAGUCUAUGACAAGCCCAAAGAUCCCAACUUUUGGGACAAAAAUCCACUAUUUGAUAAAAAAAAAACUGCUGGGAAAAUUGGAAGACAGUGUGGGGGAGAUUAGGCUUGGAUCAAUACCUCAUACCCUACACCAUGAUAAACUCAGAAUGGGUGAAUGACGAAUAUAAAUAAGGAAACUGUAAGUAAAUUAUGUGAACACAGAAUAGUAUACAUGUCAGACCUUUGGGAAGGGAAAGAUUUUAAAACCAAGCAAGACUUAGAAAGAGUCACAAAAAGUAAAAUAAUUUUGAUUACAUAAAAUUAAAAAGGUUUUCUACAAACAAAACCAAUGUAACCAAAAUUAGAAGGGAAGCAACAAAUUGGGAAGUAAUCAUCAUAGCAAAAAUUUCUGACAAAUGUCUAAUUACUCAAAUCUAUAAAGAGCUAAACCAGUUGUAUAAAAAAUCAAGCCAUUCUCCAAUUGAAAAAUGGGCAAGGGACAUGAAUAGGGAAUUUUCAGUUUAAGAAA
rnacentral:lncRNA from 1 species